GAUGAACGCUGGCGGCGUGCCUAAUACAUGCAAGUCGAGCGAACAGACGAGGAGCUUGCUCCUCUGACGUUAGCGGCGGACGGGUGAGUAACACGUGGAUAACCUACCUAUAAGACUGGGAUAACUUCGGGAAACCGGAGCUAAUACCGGAUAAUAUAUUGAACCGCAUGGUUCAAUAGUGAAAGACGGUUUUGCUGUCACUUAUAGAUGGAUCCGCGCCGCAUUAGCUAGUUGGUAAGGUAACGGCUUACCAAGGCAACGAUGCGUAGCCGACCUGAGAGGGUGAUCGGCCACACUGGAACUGAGACACGGUCCUGACUCCUACGGGAGGCAGCAGUAGGGAAUCUUCCGCAAUGGGCGAAAGCCUGACGGAGCAACGCCGCGUGAGUGAUGAAGGUCUUCGGAUCGUAAAACUCUGUUAUUAGGGAAGAACAAAUGUGUAAGUAACUAUGCACGUCUUGACGGUACCUAAUCAGAAAGCCACGGCUAACUACGUG
rnacentral:rRNA from 1 species